UGAGCCCUGCAGGUCACCUUCUCCUGACC
rnacentral:piRNA from 1 species